rnacentral:tRNA from 1 species
UUUAUAAUAGACUAAACUCAAGUCAUUAGACUCAUAAUCUAAAAAUAUUUUUUUUUAUAAUA